rnacentral:tRNA from 1 species
GCCUUCGUGGUGUAGUGGUCAGCACGCUCGACGCGUAUUCGAGAGGUCCGUGGUUCGAGUCCCGGUAAGGACC